GUAGGGGGCGAGCGUUGUCCGGAUUUAUUGGGCGUAAAGAGCUCGUAGGCGGCUCAACAAGUCGGCCGUGAAAGCCUGAGGCUCAACCUCAGGACGCCGGUCGAAACUGUUGUGGCUAGGGUUCGGUAGAGGAGAGUGGAAUUCCCGGUGUAGCGGUGAAAUGCGCAGAUAUCGGGAGGAACACCAGUAGCGAAGGCGGCUCUCUGGGCCGACACCGACGCUGAGGAGCGAAAGCUAGGGGAGCAAACAGGGAUUAGAUACCCUGGUAGUCCUAGCCGUAAACGUUGGGUACUAGGUGUGGCGGAUUCAUUGACAUCUGCCGUGCCGAAGCUAACGCAACAAGUACCCCCGCCUGGGGAGUACGGUCGCAAGGCUA
rnacentral:rRNA from 1 species